CCACCAGAUUGCAUCGUAUUUAUAAAGGAACCAUAACCCUCUAAAGACUAAGAAACAUUUUUAUGGUUCUGAGAGUUCUCUGUCUGGAGUUUACCUAGGAGGUAGAGGAAAAAGCAAAAGCUUGGAGGCCCUGCUUCACUGGCUAACUUCCAGGCAUCCCUGGCUUUUCCUAAGUUUUUCCUCUUCUCAAGUACUGUUUUCUCUCUAUGGCUAGAGCUGUGAAACUUAAAAACACGAGUUGUCCAUCCCUACCACUUCCUAAUAUACAAUGGAGGGAAGGCAUAUACAAACAUUCCAGUUCAAAAAGGGCAAAGGAUAUGUGUAUGCCUCUGGCAAUUGAAGCUACUAAUCUGUUACAAGUUAAAUCCAGCUGGGCAAAUGAAGUUCCUUGAAUUGGUUCCAAGGUGGGACGAUUUUUCAUACUGUUUUCUGGGCUCUUGCUGUUACCUGUGCUUUUUCAGGAGAAGUAGCACAUGUUUGCGAUGGGAAAUUUUUUUCUCUACUGUUUACUGCCAGAAUUUUGGAGGACCAGUGACUUCUUGCAGAGCAUGUGUCAUCAGUUACCAUCA
rnacentral:lncRNA from 1 species